rnacentral:rRNA from 1 species
ACGAACGCUGGCGGCGUGCCUAAUACAUGCAAGUUGAGCGAUGAAGAUUGGUGCUUGCACCACUUUGAAGAGCAGCGAACGGGUGAGUAACGCGUGGGGAAUCUGCCUUUGAGCGGGGGACAACAUUUGGAAACGAAUGCUAAUACCGCAUAACAACUUUAAACCUAAGUUUUAAGUUUGAAAGAUGCAAUUGCAUCACUCAAAGAUGAUCCCGCGUUGUAUUAGCUAGUUGGUGAGGUAAAGGCUCACCAAGGCGAUGAUACAUAGCCGACCUGAGAGGGUGAUCGGCCACAUUGGGACUGGGACACGGCCCAAACUCCUACGGGAGGCAGCAGUAGGGAAUCUUCGGCAAUGGACGAAAGUCUGACCGAGCAACGCCGCGUGGGUGAAGAAGGUUGUCGGAUCGUAAAACUCUGUUGGUAGAGAAGAACGUUGGUGAGAGUGGAAAGCUCAUCAAGUGACGGUAACUACCCAGAAAGGGACGGCUAACUACGUG